UACGUAGGGGGCUAGCGUUGUCCGGAAUCAUUGGGCGUAAAGAGCGUGUAGGCGGCCCGGUAAGUCCGCUGUAAAAGUCAAAGGCUCAACCUUUGAAUGUCAGUGGAUACUGCCGGGCUAGAGUCCGGAAGAGGCGAGUGGAACUCCUGGUGUAGCGGUGAAAUGCGCAGAUAUCAGGAAGAACACCCGUGGCGAAGGCGGCUCUCUGGACAGUUCCUGACACUGAGACACGAAGGCCAGGGGAGCAAACGGGG
rnacentral:rRNA from 1 species